GUCUAACAACUAUGUUAUGCCAGGCUCGGACUGGGCACCAAUGAUACAGGAAGGAGCAAGACACAACACACUUAAGGAGCCAGUGCUGUGGGAACGGCAGAUAAUCAUGCCAGAAGACAAGCUGCAAAGCAUUGAGAGGCCUGGAGGCACAGAGUUAACCUGAAACCACUGGCUUCACACCACCAUCCACUAGAAGGAACAGGCCUGGCUGACAAGAGGCAAGUCAUCGUUCCGCCAGAGUGGCCCUGCCCGAGGCAGGCUGGCACCCAGAAGCAUUCCAUCCAAAUAACGUCUUCCCCACUGAGCGCUCCUCUGCUCAUUCAGUAAACCGCGACCCAUGUUGUGUGUCCCCAGACGCAUUUGCGGAGGCCUGGCCCGUUAUUUCAUUUAAAAAAAGUUUUUUUAA